rnacentral:rRNA from 1 species
UGGGGAAUAUUGGACAAUGGGCGCAAGCCUGAUCCAGCAAUACCGCGUGUGUGAAGAAGGCCUGAGGGUUGUAAAGCACUUUCGGCAAGGAGGAAGGGUGCAAUGCUAAUACCAUUGUACUUUGACGUUACUUGCAGAAGAAGCACCGGCUAACUCUGUGCCAGCAGCCGCGGUAAUACAGAGGGUGCAAGCGUUAAUCGGAAUAACUGGGCGUAAAGAGUGCGUAGGCGGAUAAUUAAGUCAUAUGUGAAAGCCCCGGGCUUAACCUGGGAACUGCAUCUGAUACUGGUUAUCUAGAGUAUGGUAGAGGACAGUGGAAUUUCUGGUGUAGCGGUGAAAUGCGUAGAUAUCAGAAGGAACACCAGUGGCGAAGGCGACUGUCUGGGCCAAUACUGACGCUGAGGCACGAAAGCGUGGGUAGCGAACAGGAUUAGAUACCCCGGUAGUCCCUGAGCGGGCUGGCAAGGCGCAU